rnacentral:rRNA from 1 species
GACAGAGGUGCCGAGCGUUAGGCGGAAUUACUGGGCGUAAAGCGUGCGUAGACGGUUAUGUAAGUCGGGUGUGAAAGCCCCGGGCUCAACCUGGGAAUUGCAUUCGAGACUGCAUAGCUAGGGUGCGGAAGAGGGAAGCGGAAUUUCCGGUGUAGCGGUGAAAUGCGUAGAUAUCGGAAGGAACAUCAGUGGCGAAAGCGGCUUCCUGGUCCAGCACCGACGUUCAGGCACGAAAGCGUGGGGAGCAAACAGG